rnacentral:lncRNA from 1 species
CAGUGCCCAACACUCAUUGUGCAGGGAGAUAAGCUUCAGCCCAAGAAGAACCAGCUAAGGGAUUUUUGAUGGAGGCUAGAAAUGAGUCACCAUACAGGAUCAUGUGAGGGAAAGAACUUGGCUGCCCCAAAGCAGGGAAGAAAACCAUGAAGUCCUACACAGGUGGGUCUCCCAAAGGAACACAGCAUUUGGAUGCCUAACAUGAGAUUACAGGUUUAAUGAACUCAAGAGCAUGCUUGUGUGCAGAUGACAAAUACUCACAGAAAAUGCAACGUAAAAAGUUAUUCAGCCAUCAGCACAUGAGAUAUAUCUCAGAUAGUUGGUGAACCAGAGAUAAGCAUAUUCCAUGUAGAUUAACAGAUCCUGGUUGGAAUUGAAACGUGCUCAUCCGUCACAAGGGAAGAACCAUGCACCACACCCAAAAUCAGUGCAUCCAAAUCCCCUGAAGAUCUUAAGCUGCAGAUUCUGAUUCAGCAGGUUUGGGGUGGUGCCCAGGACUCUGCAUUUCUAAAAAGCUCCCAGGUAAAGCCUCUUUGUGGCCACUUUAUUAGUUUUGCUUUUAUUAUUUUUAAUUGACAUAUUAAGUGUACAUACUUAUGAGGCAUAGUGUGAUAUUUUGAUACAUCUCUACAAUGUGCAGUGAUCAAAUCAGGGUAAUUAGCCUAUCCCUCACUUCAAAUAUUUACCAUUUCUUUGUGUUGGGAACAUUCAAAAUCUGCUGUUCUAGCUAUUUGAAAAUAUAUGGUAAACUGUUAACUAUAGUCACCCUACUGUGCUAUAAAACACUAGAAAUUCUCCUUCCUAUAUAGCUGUAAUUUUCUGUUAAUCAAUUUCUGCUAUCUCUACUCCCCAACCACCAUCCACCCUUCCCAGCCUCUAAUAACCACUAUUUAUACUCUACUUCUGUGAAGUCAACUUCUUAAGCUUCCGCAUAUGGUGAGAACAUGUAGUAUUUGUCUUUCUGUGCCUGACUUAUUUCACUUAACGUAAUGUCCUCUAGGCUCAUUCACGUUACCUCAGAUGACAGAAUUUUGUUUCUGUGGUUACUUUGAGUAGAAAGCUGUUAAAACAAACACACGCCCUUCUAGCUCUGGGAUUUUUAGCUCUUCCAGCAGCAAAAGCAAAGAUGCAUGAGACUGAAGAACCAAGAGGGCAGAUCCAGACCCAUUCGGCUCACCACUGUCUACCGAGCACUUAGUGCAGUGCCCACUCUACAUAGGCAUCCAAUAGGUAAAUGAAUAAAUGAAGAAAUGCCUGAUUCACAAGAUGCAGCUGACAUUUCAAUUCUCAGGGAAUUUGGUCACUGGUUCAAUGAGGACAAGCCUCCACUGGGCUAACGUGAGCCUGAGAAAAUUCAGAGAGGCUGGACACAGCAUAACCCGCAGCCAGCAAUCUGGUAUUGCUUGCACCCCAGAGCUUAGCAUCCAAUAGUUCUUAAUGAUUUCAUAUGGGUUAGUUUCUUCAGCUGGCUUAUAAAAUGUCUUUCCCCAAUCACUCCUGCUGAUGGCCAACCCAUUCUACACAUAGCAGUCAGGGAGAUCUUUGAAAGACGUGAACCAGAUCAUGUCACUCUCUCCUGAGACCGCCAAUGCCUUCCCAUCUUUCUCCACUUGAAAUCCAGUGGUUUUACUCAGUAAUUCAGGCUUUGUGUGAUCUGGCUCCUUGGCACUCCUGAUCUCAUUUCCCCCACUCUCCACCUCAUUCUCAUGCCCCCAGCCACUCUGACCUUCUUUCUCUUCCCCAAAUACACCCAACACAGUCCCACUUCUGAGCCUGUGUGGUCCAUGGUCCUUCUGCCUGGGACUGUGUUCCUGGCUCCCUGUAUAGCAAGUGUCUCCUCAUUAUGCAUGUCUCAGUUUAAAUCUCACCUCAGGAAGGCCUGGCCUGCAUGGUGCACCUGAAUUUGCCUCCCUUGCCCCAGCCCCAUCACGCUCCUCAGAGCUGUCAUCACUAUCUGAAAUGACCAUGCCUAGCCAUGUAUAUAAGACACCUUUCUCAGUAGAUUGUAAGCUACGUGAGGGCCGGGAUCCAUCUGUCUGGUUAACAUUUCUGUCUUCCUGGAAUAGUGUCUGGCACAUAGUAUGUGCUCAAUAAUUGUGAAAUUCUACUGGGCUCUCACUUCCCUUGGUCCGGACCAUGUUCGAUACUUCUCUGCAUGCCUUCUAGCCCCUAACAUGAGACUGGAUAUAAUAUAGGUGUGAAACUGAAACUGCGGGUCAAACCCCAUCCUGGUGACCAACAGACCUGAUCCGGACCAGGCCUGACUGCCAGUCAUGGUAUAGUCCGGGGUCCUCCAGGCCGUCUUUGCAGUGGCCGUCCUAGGCUCACAGACAUGGUUAAUCCAAUGGAAUUAACCAUGGGCUCUGAAUCCUCAGCACUAGAAUGAUUGACUUGAACCAAACAAGGCCUAGGGGCCCACAGGAACAUGAACGUGCCUCCACUUCCUUUUGGGUCCCAUCCCCAGAAUUGUAGUUCCCUCCCACUCAGCCUCCACCUUCCAAGAAGUCAACGCCACAUCACACCAGCUGCCUCUCCCUCUUGAGAGGCUGAGCUGCCUAAGCAGUAACCACGUCUGUGAGCCCAGGAUUGCCAAGGUCAAAGAAAAUCGAUCCAUAGACACUUCCUCUGCUUGGGGGCUGACGUCAGGUAAGCAACUUGAGAACAUGUUAGGACAAUCCUGGGGCUUCGUGGUCCGGGAGCCUUUUCUGUACAUUCCAAUCCCCAGUAUGUAAGAAGUACAUUUCUGCUUCAGUGAAUACUCUGAAACCUGUACCACACCCGAGCCCCUGGCAGGUGGAAAUGGUUUGUGUCUGAGAGAGGCAGAUGUGAGUCAGGGGUUACCUCAAUGGCUGGCUUGAUGGGGUACGUGUAGUUACUAUUCCGAGGGGUUCUCAGGAAGGGCUCAUUCUAAGAGAAAAAAAAACACAUGGAGAAGUUAUCUGACAGCACUGAAGUUUGCUUGAGAAGGAGAAAAACUAACAAUCCUGCCCUGUAGAUUUAUUUAACAUGAUUCUUCUGCACUUAUAUAGAAAGAACUGUAUAAACAUAAUUUCAUUCAUUCCCCCGGAGGGUUUUACAUAACAGCUUUGGCAAGGGAUGGACAACAAAAGGCGUGCAGAGGGUUUCAUACCCAUUGUAGUCUGGGGUCUGUGCUUUUGUGUUCCUCCUAGCAACUGAACAGCUCCCUAAUCCUCAGACCUAUCUAUUUUCUUGGCUUUGUAAUUUCUCUAGCAAGGGAUUCAUGUUUCAGCAUUUUUUUAAUCUUCCAGAAAGUGUUAUGAUUAUCAAUAUAUUUGAGUAUCUGUAAUGUUUUUCUUUCUGCCUCCUUUGAACUGUAUGUCUUUUCCUCUUUAGGUUGGGUUCCUGUAUCUUAGUCAUUUUUUUUUUCUUGUAAAACACCCUCCUCAUUCCCUACUUACCUAUCUGUUUUACAAUCAGUUUUCACAUAAGCCCAGUCAAGAAUCCAAGUCCCCCCAGUUGCAGGUGAGGAGUUAGUUAAAGAAGGAAGAAGGAAGCAGACAAAGAAGAAAUGGGGAGAAAGCUAAUGAGAAAAUGUAUAAAUGACAGCAAAGCAAGAUCAAGUUGAUAAGACUGAGAUCAGGAAACAGCAACCGGGCCCAGGGCUGUGAGCACUCUCACAAAAUGUGCUCAGUGGAGUAGUAAGCCCAUGGUCUGAAAAUGUGAGAAUAAAAUGGGAACAAGAAGAAAAAACCAGGCUGGCACAGUGGCCCAUGCCUGUAUUCCCAGCGUUUUGGGAGGCCAGGGUAGGAGGAUUGCUUGGGGCCAAGAGUUUAAUACCAGCUUGGGAAGCAUAGCAAGACCCCAUCUCUACGACAAAUUAAAAAAAUAAAUUAGCUCAACAUGGUGGCAUGUGCCUGUAAUCCUAGCUACUCAAGAGGCUGAAGCAGAAGGAUUGCUUGAACCCAGGAGUUUGUGGUUACAGUGAGCUAUAAUUGUGCCAGUGCACUCCAGCCUGGGCAACAGAGUGAGACUCUGUUUCAAUAAAAAAAAAAAAAAUUAGUCUGGGCACAGUGGCUCACACCUGUAACCCCAGCACUUUGGGAGGCCAAGGGGGGGUUCAUCACAUGAGGCCAAGAGUUCAAGACCAGCCUGGACAACAUGGUGAAACCCUGUCUCUACUAAAAAUACAAAAAAAAAAAAAAAAAAAUCCAGGUGUGGUACACAUCUGUAAUCUCAGCUACUUGAGAGGUUGAGGCAUGAGAAUUGUUUGAACCUGGGAGGCAGGGGUUGCAGUAAGAUGAGAUCAUGCCAGUUCACUCCAGUCUGGGUAACAGAGCAAGACUCUGUUUCAAAAAAAAAAAAAAAAAGGGAAAACCAGAAUGUUGGAAAAGUGAUCUCGUCUCAUACCUGACCACAUGUACGCAACCAUGUUCUUGCCUGGCAUUGUAGAUGACUGACUUUGCAACCCCCAAAUGCCCCACUUUAUAGAUGAGCAGCUGCUGAGCCCCAGAGUGAGGAAGGGACGGGUUCCAGGUUAGGGAACAAGUGAUGAAUGCCAAACUGGGGCCAGAGCUGACUGGACAAGCCUCUUGCCUGGUUCCGUUCCUCACACUGGAGGUCAGGCCAACAAAAACCCUGUUGGUCAGACAGCGGGAAAGGAAGAGAGGGACUCAGCAGCGACUGGGAGGACAGAGUCCACCCACACAGAGCUCUCAGCCCCCAGCUCAGAUACUGGUUCCCUGAGGCACCCGACAAGUCUCCCCUUUCCCUGGUCUCAGCAUUCCUGUCUGAAACAGGUAACCGAUAUCCUUUCUUUCUUGCUUGCUUUUUUGAGACGGAGUCUUGCUCUGUUGCCCAGGCUGGAGUGCAGUGGCGCGAUCUCGGCUCACUGCAAACUCUGCCUUCUGGGUUCAUGCCAUUUUCCUGCCUCAGCCUCCCGAGUAGCUGGGACUACAGGCACCUGCCACCACAAAUGGCUAUUUUUAUUUUUUGUAUUUUUAGUAGAGACGGGGGGUUCACCAUGUUAGCCAGGAUGGUCUCGAUCUCCUGACCUGGUGAUCCGCCCGCCUCAGCCUCCCAAAGUGCUGGGGUUACAGACGUGAGCCACUGCGCCCAGCCCCUGACAUCCUUUCAAGGAGAGGUACUCAGGGCCAAGUGGGAGAAGUGAGCCCUGGACCCUCUACAACAGCAUAAGACAGGAGAGGGCUUAUGGUGGCAGGUCCAUGUAGCUACUUGGGCUUGUCUCGGGUUAACAGUAAGCAUUCCCUGAGCAUUCACCAACAAAGAGGGCGAUCUGGGAGCAUGCUAUAAACAAGUGACCCAUGCUGGUUGAGCAGCUCAAGCGUUAGAGAGCAUUUCUAGGUGCCAGGAUGAGAGGAGGAGAGAGAGAAACUCACAAUUGGCUCAGGUGGGGAGACAGACUUGAGAAGCUGAGGCAGUGAAGCAUCAGAGAAUGGCAUGGCCAGUCAGUGUAGUACCUGCUGAGGAACUGAGGCAAGAUUUGGAGAGGUAGGGUCCUCAGAGACAAGACUCAGUGGCAUUCUCCCUGCACGUCAAAGGAGCCCAGACUCAGCUUAGGGUCCAGGGGCUGGAGUCAGUCCUACCGUGACCAGAAUGGGAGGCACUGAGGGAAGGACAAACUUGACCUUUUUGGAAGUGCUGCGAGUGCAACUGGACAAUGUGUUUCAUUGAAUCUAUUUGAUCACAAGAUCUACAGGUUGGGGAAAGGGAGGCAGAGCUAGAGGGCUAGAGGUCAAGGAGACACUAGAAUGUGUUGCAGACUGAGGCCAUGGCAAGAACAAUUACAGCCCAGGGUUGUGGCAGACAGGCAGCCGGGGUGCCUCAGGGCUUUCCUCCCCCUCCCCUUCUUUUCUUUUUUUUCCAACUCCUAUGUUCCUGUCUAAUGGGUUUUAUUGGGUUUUAUUGGGCUUGUUUUUAGCUGGGUUUAUUGACCAUUGACCAUUUGGUGCAUGCAUGAGUCAGAGUGGUUUAAAGGCCUGGAGCCAAAGCAGAUGACGUGAAAGAGGGGUUUGAUUGAGCCUGACUGGCUCUUGAAGGCUAGAUUUGGAGCCCCCGUGAGUAGAAAGGGGGGCCGACUGAAUGGCAGAACAAGGAACCGGUCUAGUAGUUCCAGCCAUGCAAAGACGGUGUGGGCUGCCUGGGGAGGCAGAGCCCAGCCAGCCUCCUGAUGUGAGUCAGCAACGUGAGUCAGUGGCUGUGGGACAAGGCCAUCAACAUCCUGGCUGCUUUACCAGGUGUAGUUCCAUGGGGAAGGAGGGGUGAUUUUCUUCGCUGGUUGUGCUGGUUGGAUCAAACCAGAUGUACAGUCACCACCUUACAAGGGGCCACAUUCCAAGGAGAAAUACCCAUAUGAGGCAGGGGUUGGCAGCCAUGUGUGCAAUGAGUGGCUGGAACUGAGAAGACUCUCAGCUGGGUGGUGGCAGUCAGAGGCAGGAGGACAUAAUGGUAUUUCACGGGAUGUCCUAAGAGGUUUUCUAUCCCAUUCCAUUCAAAAAGUGCUAGUUCCGGCCGAGUGUGGUGGUUCACACAUGUAAUCCCAGCACUUUGGGAGGCCAGUGUGGGAAGAUUGCUUGAGCUCAGGAGUUUGAGACCAGCCUGGGCAACAGAGUGAGACCCCAUCACUAUUAAUUAAAAAAAAAAAAGUGCUGGUUCUUUACCUACACUGAUUUCAGGUGGUAAGAAAGUGUGAACAUUUGGGGACAGAGAGCAUUAGGACAAAUACCUAAUGCAUGCACAGCUUAAAAUCUAGAUGACCGGUUGAUAGGUACAGCAAACCACCAUGGCACAUGUAUACUUAUGUAACAAACCUGCACCUUCUGCACAUGUAUCCUGGAACUUAAAGUCAAAUAAAUAAAUAAAUAAAAAAGAAAGUGUGAACAUUUAAGCAGAGGCCAUAGGGUGUCUUGGGAGGGAUGUGGUAGAAGAAUUCCAUUAUUCUAUGAGAGAUUGCAUCCACAGAAGUCUAAGGCCCUCCCCACUGAGAACCUAAGAUUACAUAAGUCUAUUGUUUCAUGGUGGGAAGGUGCGACUAGUUAGCCUUUAACGUACAAAGUGAUGAGAAUCUGAGCCCCUGCAGUGGCAGUGGGAAAAGGAAGAGGGACAGGUGGGAAGAAUCCUAUUAGAUUCUGGAGGACUGGUAAGAAUCCGAUUAGAUAGGGUCCCUGACAUUUCAUGCCUGUAGAGCUUGAAAACCCUAAUGAAGUUGGCAGAAAUAGAGAACUCCUAAGGAACAGAGAGUUUGGGAAGACAAAGAAUUAGUUCCUAUUUAGACACUCCUUGCUCAGAAAAUUAUUUUUUGAAUGAAUGUUAAGCUUGAGAUGGUGGUGGGGUCAUGGCAGGAUUGGAUUUAGAAGCUCUGAGCGUCAAAAAGAUAACAAUGUCACUUAUAUGUAAUUCAAUACAGAAGCACUGCUAAACAACAAACUAAGUUUAAGGGAAUUUGAUAAACUUCGGCUUUUUCUCAUAAGAAAAGAUAGGGUAUGAUACAUGAACUUAUUUCAGCCCCCUCCUGCUUGAUCAUACAUUAAUCUGCCUUUUGGGUAACCUUAUACCAGAUAGAGCAUCCAAGGGGAAAUGUAUUUUAAAGGUCAGAAAUAGAGGAUUGGAGUUCGGGAAAGGAGAAAUGAAGACACAGAUUGAGAGACUGAGGAAUCCAGCACAAAGAAAUUUUACAGGAAAUCCUGGAAAUGGGUAAGUCUCAGAGUGAGAGGAUGUGGAGAGAGAGAAAAGAAAACAGAGGCCGGGCACAGCUGCUCACACUUGUAAUCCCAGCUCUUUGGAAGGCCAAGGCUGAUGGAUCACUUGAGUCCAGAGUUCAAAAUCAGCCUGAGCAAAAUGGCAAGACCCCACCUCUACCAAAACAAAUAAACCAAAAUUAGCUGGGCAUGGUGGUGCAUGCCUGCAGUCCCAACUACUCAGGAGGCUGAGGUGGGAGGAUGGCUUGAGCCUAGGAGUUGAAAGCUGCAGAGAGCUGUGAUUGCGCCACUGCACUUCCAGCCUGGGAGACGGAGCAAGACCCUGUUUCAAAAAGUGAGUGAAAAAGGAAAGAAAAUAGAAUGGAGACAUGAAAAUUGGAGAAUAUCUACAUUUUCAAGACUGGGGAAAGGGAGGAGGAGGGUCAUUAAAGGCAAGCAAACAGAAGACCAGAAAAAUCAAGGCGAUUUAGUGUCCACAAACCCAGGAAGGAGUGAAUUUCAAGGGGGAGGUGGUGACUUUUGACAAGGGCUUCAGAGAGGUCAAAAAGAAUGAAACCUAAGAAAAGGACCAGGUGUUCAGCCAGCUGCCCUGGGGUUAGGAAAGGAGUGGGCAGAGAGCCCAUUAAGGCAGAGUAUAGGCUCAGUCCACAGAAGGCUAGUCAAAAGUUGUCUGUAAAAGAAUUUGUCCAACUUGAAACUACAACAGAAAUCCAUGGCGUGCUGUUAAGUCACCCUACCUGGCACACAGAACGUAUGAGCAGUUAGACUGCGGAUGGGAGAAGGGAGGAGGCUGAGAAAGCUCAUGCUCACAGCCAUCUCGGCCUCCUGCCUCCCGCCCCCCACUGCGUCUUGCCUGUUGCCUGUUGCCUCUAUGUUUAGACACAUCUAGGACAAAAAUAGGUGCUGCCUGGCCCCUGUCAGCUCACACUGAGAUGCUGGUGGACUUUUAUAUCACUCCAAGGCACAUGGGAGGGAGCAGAUGGGACUGAGGAAUGCAGAAUGCUCAGAACACAGUGAAGUUGGGCUGGCCAACAGAUGGACCCUUUCAGAAUGGGCUCCAAUGUUGCUUAGCAACAGCUUCACCAGGGCUGGGCUUCUACUGGUUCCACGAGGCUGGAUCUGCUCACCUCUGCAAAUCAGUGCAGUGGCUCCAUUGGGCUCUGUCUAGAAGGGAGGCACUGAGCCCACUCAGCUUAAGAUGCUGCUGGGUGGAGCAGCCUCCUUUUGGGGGUCUCUGCCUGAUCUGGGGUAAAGCCUGGAAGUGGUUGCCUCGAAGCCCAGGGUGACAGGGCUCUCCCUGACCCAGUGCUUAGGCUCCAACUCAGUACUCAAUACACGUUUGUUGAAAGAAAGAGCAAAUGAUGGCUGCUUUUGUUAUGUAAUGGAAGGGGAGUGGACAGUUUGGAAAGGGCCCUCCAUGGCUGAUAUUCAGUAUGGCUAUAGGGUUGGUAAAAUAUUGACAUAUCUACAAUAUGGCUAUUUCUGAGUCCCCAAAUGCCCCCACUAUCCACGGUCCCUGGCUGCUCCCCUAGAACCCCCAGGCAUCCUUAGGAAAGCAGUUAAAGAGUUUACACCUGGCACAGUAGGGGCCUCUAAGGUUUUGCUCCAGGCCUUUGGCCAGCACCUGACCACCUGGACUAGAGGCAUCUGUGUUGCACUAGCUGUUGCAGAAUCUGACAAUCUCCUUAGCUCCAAGCACAAGACCCAGCAACUGAGCCCUCUGCUACGACUGUCUUCACUUCCCAUCCCUUCUUCCUGCCAUUCUUGCUCUCCUGAUGGGGCUGAUGGCACACAAGACUGAGCCUGAGCCCAAGACUGGGGUAGGGCAGGCAGCAGACAGGGAGCAGGCAUGUGAACAGGGGUGCCCACUCUCUCAGGAUUCCCAGCAGACACAUGGGGGAGCUGCAGGUCCAUUCCCCAGCAGGGAGGGUGGGAGAGGGUGGUGUGGCCGACCUAGGAGGGAAACCCAGCCUCCCAGAUUGGGUCAGGCCUUCUGCUUUUAUUGCUGCUGAGGGUUUUCUGGCCUUGGCCUUAUUUGGUUAAAAAGCCAUAAGACCGGGCCUAGAAACAGGAGCUGAAGACAAUGAGAACCUGCCCCCACCCCAGGCCUGAAGUCAAGCUUAACAACCACUUACGGAUUCCUCCUUAAAAGGAGCCUGGAGCUGCCGUGUCCUGGUAGGCCCACCCUCGUCCCUCCUCCAUACAGCUCUGGGCUCUGCCCUUUGCUGCUGUCCUCUGUGAUCCUUUCCUUGUGGAAUCUCCCUAAUCCAGGCUCUCCUCUCUCCAACCACAGCUCUUAAGCCUGCCUGGCUCCUGCCUGGGCCCUCUAACCUGCAGUCAGAUUUUUUCAUCUGCCCCAAACACCACUGCUAAGAGAAGCCCUCCUGCCAUUUUCCUGGCAUCCUGAUUUCCUCUCUCAGGAGCCCACUUUUCUCACCGGGAUCCUCUCCCUCUGCUGGGGCCCAGGCCUCCUCUCCCUGCUGCAUCUCCUGUUCCCAAUGACAGCUGCACUCUUGUCUCCCCUCUCACCUCCCCUGUCCAUCCUCAUGGACUCCCCUCCAUCCUCCAAAUCUCUCAGGCCUCAGUAAGGGGGCAAGAUGGGUACUGAGGAAGCUGUGGUGGAGGACGAAGUGGGUAGGGCGAGCUGUGUGCCCUGGUUUGUGGAGAGGAGCCAGGCAGGUCCUCCCCUACUACCUGAGUGGGACAGGUGAUGGGCAUCUCUGCUCUCAGGUCCAGGGUCUCUGUUUUGCUUCCAAGUGGUUCAAGCUGAUCAGGGAAGAAAAGAGAGACACGGGUGUAGUAGUUUGUUUCCAUGGAAGUGAACAUUCCCUGGCAGAAUCCUGCAGUGGGGAAAGCUCAGAACUCGAUUUCAGGGGGCUUGGCUCCCACUUCUGGCUCUGCCAGUUGCCAGCCGUGGGGUUUUGGGCCAGUCGCUUUGCUUCUCUGGGAGUAGCUUCCUUGGAGACUCGUCAUGCUUCUCUAGCAGGGAUAUGCAGAGCCUUAAAUGAGAUAACGUGGCUUAAACUGCCUAACAUGGUGGCCGGCACAUAGGGAAAGUGGAAUGAAUAUGGGGUUUUGGGCUUGCAUUUCUGUAGAGAGGUCCCUCCUCAGAGUUCAAAGCUCUGAGGAGAGGGUGCAGUUGAGCCCAGGCUGAGCAGACUCUUAAGGACUCCGCAUUUCCAACUGCAUAGACGUUUAUAGAUGUACCAGCCACUGCCCCCUCAGCCUCACUUGCAAGACUCCAUUCUAUAGGGGCUGGUGCCCUGCCCUAGACUAGAACCCCAGAGAACAAGGAACACCCCACUUAUUUUACCAUAUUGGUCCAAAGGGCUCUGGCCAGCUGGGAGUGGAAUUUCUGAUUUGGGUGGAUGCAGUCUGGGGCAAAGAAGGACGUAUCUGGGAGCCCAUCCUGAAAGAGACCAAUAUACCCCCUCAAGAUCCUAUUGGUUCAGAGGGAGCCACCACCAGCGGACUUGGCCCUGGGACUGACCACUCAACACCUUCCUUCCCCUGGAGUGCUCCAGGUCACCAGCCACCACAGGGCCCAUUCACCUUAACAGAGAGAUCAGAGCGAUCCCACAAAGAAUAGUUUUGGGUGACGCCAACCCCCAACCUUCCUUUUUGACCCUACAAGUGCCCCUUAUUCAAUUAGAAGUGUCGUAUUUAUUUUUGGGCACAUUCAUGUAAUGCCCGAGGCCAUGCCACAGAUGAAGGAGUGGGAUCCUGGUCCCGCAGAGAGUCUUAGCCCAGCCAGCUGGGAAAAGCUACUUCCCAGCUUUUGGUCUGCUGGUCCUGGUAGUCUUGGUGGGGAGAAUGGAACAAAGCCUUGGGGAAGGCCUGGGUAGUUGGGUCCCCUGACUCCAGCCUCUUCAUCUGGAGGUGCUGGGGGUGCAUAGAGCUGCUCUCCUUCCUGCUUUCCAGUUAGGUGAGGCUCUUGGGAUGGCAGCCCAGGGGGACAGACCUCAGUCCUCACCUGGUCCACUCACAGAUCUCUUCUGUUCAGAGUGGAAGUGCCAGGCAAAGGGCAUGGCCUGGGUGGAAACAGAGAACCCCCAGAAUGCUCCCUUAUAACCGCAGCGUUGCACACGAGAGAGACCACGUGCGUGGCAGAAAACUAGUCAUCUGGAGCUGGCUGUGUUCAUGUUGGCCUCCCUGUCCCUUAUUUCCUAAAUGAUCUUAGGAAGGACGCUUCACAUCUCUGCACCUGUGUUCCAUGCGGAUGAUCACACUCAUUUCCAAAGGCAGAUGUGACAGUUUUAUCUAUGGGAAGCACAGUGCCUGGCACUAGUAGGUGCUCAACACAAUGGAGGCUGUUACAGGGGUCAUGGGAGCCUCGCACAUACGGAUGUGGCUCAGGCGUUCAGGGAGCCUGCACCUGCCAGCACAGCGUCUGGAGAGCUGUGUCUUUCCCAUUUUAUGCACAUGCUCGUGGAAGCAACUGGCAAUUCUGCCUUGCAUUUCUUCCUCUAAAAGAGUACCAUGGGUGAGGGCAGGGGACAUACCGCCAGGACAGGGAGCUGGAUGUUCUGGAAGAAGGGCUGCAGCACCACAGAGAAGUCCUCCUGCGUGUCAUAGCGGCCUGACCCCACCAGCUCGCGCAUGCUGCUCUGGGGACACAUGCACAGGGUCUUCAGCCCAGGCCCUGGGUGGGCCCAGGACCCAGUGAGGCAAGAGUAGGGGUGGUGGGCAGUCCAUCUCCCUGGAUGGAGGGGCCGACUCAGCCUUUCCCUUGAGAACACAAAUCACCUGAGGGCAAGUCCCUUUCCAGAGAAUUUGGAAACAGGUUGGGUCACCUUUUUGUUUUGAUUGUAAGUAGACUACUCUCUCUGAAGGGCUAGGCAGGAAGUCCCAAAAGGGAUAAAAACCUGGGAAGAACCUCCAGAGGCUCGGCACCUGCCUUUGGAGUGGGAGUGGGGGAGGGAAAGGUGGUCUCAUGAGGCAUCCAGGGCUACGGGCCAGGAGUUGGGGUUAAGCCCUCAACGGUAGCUGGGCCAUGAGGGCUUUUCCACCUGGAUCCUACUGGGAUGAUUCCAACCAGGGCACCUGAGACACCACAGUCACGUGAGACAGAGGAAGGCACCCAGGCUGCUCCCCGUCUCCCCACAAUCCCUGACCAGCUUUUCCUUCCCUGUGUGCCUCCUCUAGGGGCUCUGGGCUGUGUGUUAGAGUGAACGUAGGGGAGAGGACACAGCAUGGUGCCCUUCUUGGUCUUACCCGGUAGGCUCGGCUGAAGGCCUCCAGCCUGGCUAGCUCUUGGGAGUUCUCCCGCAGGGUCAGAACGCAGUUACACAAAACGCUGCACAAAGAGGGGGAGGCAGGAGGCCCCAGAGCUCAGGCUUCCAUCAGGGGCUGGUUCUGAUUGCCCAGGUUCAGGGGAGGGGUGGAGAGGCUCCCUCCCGCCCUGGUUUAGGAGCAC